rnacentral:rRNA from 1 species
UAUUAUUAGACAUUAUUAAUAAUAAGAUCUGCUCAAUGAAAAAUUUAAAUAGCCGCAAUUAUUUGUGCUAAGGUAGCAUAAUCACUCGUUUUUUAAUUGAAAACUCGUAUAAAAGAUUAAACAUCUUAAUUAAUUUUCUUAAAUAUAUAAAUUUAAAUUUAUUAUAUAUGUAAAAAAUCAUAUAACAUUUAAAAAGACGACAAGACCCUAUUGAACUUAACUUACUAGUUAAACUGGGGCAGUUAAUUAAUUAUCAUUUUAAUUUAAAUUUCUCCAUAAAAACCUAAUAUAAUUAAAUAUUAAUCAAGUUACCAUAGGGAUAACAGCGUAAUAAAUAUUUAUAGUCCUUAUUAAAAUAUAAGAUUACGACCUCGAUGUUGAAUAAUUACCUAACAUUAAGCAAAAUUAAAAUAAGGAAGUCUGUUCGACUUUUAAACAAUUACA